UCUUUCUACUCCUAACCCCGAAGCCAAAGUCAAAGUCAUCAAUUUUCAGAUCUUCUUUAUCGUAUCCCCAUUAUCAGUGAGAUGAAGUGAAGGUAAUUCAGAUCUGAUUCUGCAGGCGUGGGAAUCGUCAGAUGAGCCUUGUGACAGGUGCUCGCUAUGAGGCUUUUGUUAUAAUGCUCUCCCAGAGGUUUUUCCUAUCGUUUAGUAAGCGAUAACUAGGCAUUAGAAAAGUUCGGAAAAUGAUCGCGUUGCAAUCUGUUGACGCUAAAUCGGUAGUGUAAUGCUCCUUAUCACCAUAUUCAAUUUUUUUGAAUUGAUAAAGUAGUCUGUACCUAUUUUAGUCCAGUGUUAGUUCAACAUAUCACUCAGGAUGGAUGUCGACUCACGGUUAAUCGUGAAGAAGGUAGUUUUGGACGUGGUUUGUCUUGCAGCAGUUGGUUUCCCAAUCCUGCUGUUUUAUUUAUUUGGCGAUCCGUACAAAAGGGGAUUCUUUUGCAGUGACGAGUCCAUCAGAUAUCCAUACCAUGGAUCAACGGUUUCUAAUGUUGCCUUGUAUAUUGUUGGCAUGGGAUUGCCAAUUAUUGUUAUGUUGAUCACUGAAUAUUCACUCUAUCGGCAUGCGGAAGGUUUUAGAGCCCGGAAUCUUCUCGGGCAUAAAAUCCAAGUAUGGAUAUGGAAUAGCUACAAAGCAAUCGGGGCUUUUGGUUUCGGGGCAGCAGCUUCUCAACUAACAACAGACAUUGGAAAGUAUACCAUAGGGCGUUUGAGGCCUCACUUCUUUGAUGUGUGCAAACCAAACAUCAACUGCUCCGAUCCCUCCAACCAACUUGUUUACAUCGAGAAAUUCAUGUGUCGCGGUUCAGACCUUAAGUUGAUACGUGACUCAAAGUUGUCUUUUCCCUCAGGUCAUUCCUCAUUCUCAUUCUACACCAUGGUUUACCUAGCGAUCUAUCUUCAAGCAAGAGUGCCGUGGAACAAAUGCCGCUUAUGGAAACAUUUCGCUCAGUUUGUCGUCAUAAUGAUGGCCUGGGGAACAGCCUUAUCCAGAGUCUCGGACUACAAGCAUCAUUUUAGUGAUGUCAUUGCUGGAGGAUGCAUAGGCACUCUCGCUGCCCUUCUGACGGUAAAUCGUACUUUGUGUCGGAUUUGUUUGUUCCUAAGAAGAGGCUCCAUCCAAGUGACCCCUCAGAAGUGGAUCUAAAUUUUAAAUCAAACAAUGAAAUGGACAGGAGCGCAACAGGUAUUGCUUCUUCUCCAUACGACUUAUAGAACUUUCGGUAUUCGCACUCCACAUCGGCUUGGAACAGAACCUUAGGAUGUAAAGAGUUACUUUCUUUGAAGGAAGAUCAUACCCUGUGAUGUUAAUACCCUCCAGAAUUUUCAAUUCCUGUAAAAUGUGAUAAAGGCUCUAAGACUGUGAAUUGCAAAGAAAGCGGAUGAGCUCAAAUUGUUCAGGCUCAAUGAAUUGAGUUGUUCACCAAUUUGCAAUAACAAGGUUUUUAGUUGAUCAGUUUGCUGGAUUGAAGGAUCUAAUGUAUGAAAUUAAUAGCAAAACUUUCCUAAAUAUGAGAAAAAUAGGUUUAAUUAUAAAAAGACAACGCAUGGAAUACCAGGAAAUUCAGUGCCAGCUAAAUUUAGAUUUCUACUAUAUGAUUAGAUGUUCCUUGCAAUCUCCUAAGUAAGAUGAGCCUUUACAAUAGAACUUCUUUUUGCCUAUUUUCGAGAAAUACUGGUCUGAAAAGAGCGUUCUUGGCAGUUUUACUCGCACUAUCAAGUUUAAAAUAAUUAAUCAUUAUUAAAUGUAGGUGAUUGAGGGAUUCCUUUCUCCUCGCCUCGCACCGGCCACAGAAAUUAGUCGGCGCGUCAGUUAAAAACAAAAGGCUUCGCAUCUUCGACUUAGCCACUUCUCCAAAUAAACACACUUUAAACUGCAAUCAAAUGCACUUUUGAACUUUCUCUAAAUCAUCACCUGGAAAUUUCGAUUUUCAAAUUUCAUGAGACUCAGGAGAUAGUAAGGAACAUCAUAUCGAAAAAUCUCAAAAUUCGGCUGAUGCAGAAUUUCUUGGUAUUCCAUGCGCAAUCCUCUUAUUGUGCCAUGGCUUGAAUGAGGUUUGAACCGAUUUUGACAAUUCAAUUUGUACAAGCUGUACUUAAUUCAUUCAACUGGAAAUAAUCAAUGUUGUGACUUUUUUCGAAUAUCUCACUGACAAACUUCAUACACUGACAACGAGACCUUUUUUAAUUAUACAGAAAAACAAUUGAACUGAUUGGUAAUUAAUUUUGCCUAGUCUAAAUGCAACUUUGUCCAAAAAAGCUUCAAUUGAGAAUUUUACUCUUUGCAGGGUUCCAAUACAAAAUACAAGAGAAAUUUUGGAUGAUCUCGAAAAACAUAAAUUACUAGUCUAUUAUUUCGGCAGACUUUAAGUUUUAUUGAUAGGUUGGCGAAAACAGAAAAAUUAAAUAUUUACAUGCUAGGCAAACAUAGUGAAUAAUUUUCAUAAUUGAGGAUGAAACUUUCUGGCUUCAUUCACCUCAGGUAAAUCUUCUUUUCCUUAUACAUCGCAUUUCGUAGAGUUUUUUUUGUCCCACUAGGGACCUCUCUUGUCACGUUUGUUGUCGUUUCUCCCAUAGAUCUAUGCAUUAACGCAUGUCUAUUUUUCAUGCAGAAUUAUUGAUCAAUCCUAUGGAAUUUGAAAGAAACCUUUCUUGUUUUUAGCAGCGGUUGGAUAUUAAUUAUGGAAUCACCAUUCUGUGUGGGGAUGGCAAAUCUGACGUUUUUUUAUAAGAUAAAAGAAAUUUGACUCCUUUCCACUCGACUCAUUCCAUUAACAGUGCCCUUUUUCUUUGAGCCUCACAGUCAUUUUAUAUAUAUAUUAAUAGCUUGUUGGUUGUUGAUUCUUUUUAUCCUGUACUACAGUCUAUCCGUAACCUAAAAUUUUAAGAUUCAUUUAGCUGAUAAGUUAAAUUUUCAGAACCCCCUGCUAAUUUUUUAGACAUCAUGAGGGUUUUUGAUGAGAAGCAAGGAUGCAAGAGAAAUCAGAGCUGCGACAAGUUUGGCUAGAGUCACUCAUUUCCAAAUGCAGCAGCCUGAUCUGAAGGUGUAUUUGUCCAUGCAGCCUAGGAAAGUUAGACUGCUUGUUUUGCAUAUUGAAACAAUUUUGGCAGGAAGAAGAGUUAUUUAAAUUAUCAUUAUCAACUUAGAGUGUAUUAUUCCCAUCAAUCGAUUCUUGUUCCGCUUAUAUUUCUCAUUCUCCCCUCUCUUGCCUUGAGUCUUUACGCUGAUUUUAAGUUUUAAGUGCAAAUGUUACGAAUUACAUCGAAGCAUUCCAGUUUUUCAAUAUUACUAACCAAUUUUAGCUUGUGCCUGAAUUCCUAGUGACCUAAGUGACUUUCAUGUUGUAUGGUACUAUUUUUAUACAAUACUCAUUCACAUUUUUCCUAAAAAUUUUAACUGUAAGUCGCUCAUCCAACUUCUGGAGAAGAUUUUAUCCGGUUCAAAAUCUCAAUUAGUUUAAUUAGUUUCGACAAUCAUCAUAGGGUAUUUAGGUGAAGCAUCUCCAGAAUUUUAUGAGUAAGUGUUCUAAAAAUAAUUUGCUCCUCAUACUGCUAUAGAGCCUGGACGUUUUUUUAUGCAUUCUUCAAUAGUUUUAAAGUCAUCAUACUUUAUCUAUCACUAAAAUAAGACUUUCAAUAGACAGCUAAUUUUUUUAAACGAGUUACCAUUACUAUUUGAUGCAAUUUUUAGUUUAAUGAAAGCAUCUUUUUGUGGUGCGCUAGUAUUCUAUCCUCUAAUUCAAAAAGUAUAGUGAAUUUAUAGUUACCUAUCUAAGCAUUCUGAAUUUUGACAAUAGCUUUUCAUUCAUUUCAAUGCAGCUUUAAAUGUAUGUAGAAAAAUCGAAUUCAAAACAUUUUUUGUGCAGGGUUCCAUUCCAAAUAGGUACACAUUAUAAUUAUUUUGAGCUCAGAAACGCACGCCUUGAGUUGAAGUCAUUUUUUAAGCAACAGCUGUUGAAUGGGAUGAUUUCAUUUGCUAUAAGCAGACAAGGUCAUUCAAGAUUGGCAAACUGCUUGGUUUGCCAAAUGCCAUUAUUUUAAAUUGUGUUCUAAAAACAGAAUCAAGUGGAUUCGCUCAGGAAGCUCUGUUUCUGGUUCACUGUUCAUUCAAGGUCUUUUAAUCUAGAAUCCAUCGAAGUUCCAAAUGAUUUUUCUGAACUUUUGUCUUGCCUAAAAGGCUGAUUUUUUUUUUCUCUCUCUCUCUCUUCACUUUUUUGGUCCCCUUGUUAUUUGUCUCCCCUUCCCUGCCUCCUCUUAGCCUGUUUUCCUAGUUUUAUUUGUUGUUCUGUUAAGAUUUUAUAUUCGUCAUGUUUUGUAUGUACAUUUUUCACACAUUUUAUUUUAUUAAUUUAUUCUAGAUC